AAAAAAGGUAAGCUACUAAGAGCGAAUGGUGGAUGCCUUGACUGGUAAAGGCGAUGAAGGACGUACUAGACUGCGAUAAGCUACGGGGAGCUGUCAAGAAGCUUUGAUCCGUAGAUUUCCGAAUGGGGCAACCCAAUGUAUAGAGAUAUACAUUACCUAUAUAGGAGCGAACGAGGGGAAUUGAAACAUCUUAGUACCCUCAGGAAAAGAAAUCAAUAGAGAUUGCGUCAGUAGCGGCGAGCGAAAGCGCAAGAGGGCAAACCCAGUGCUUGCACUGGGGGUUGUAGGACUGCAAUGUGCAAGAGGUGAGUUUAGCAGAACAUUCUGGAAAGUAUAGCCAUAGAGGGUGAUAGUCCCGUAUGCGAAAAACAAACCUUAGCUAGCAGUAUCCUGAGUAGGGCGGGACACGAGGAAUCCUGUCUGAAUCUGGGUCGACCACGAUCCAACCCUAAAUACUAAUACCAGAUCGAUAGUGCACAAGUACCGUGAGGGAAAGGUGAAAAGAACUGAGGUGAUCAGAGUGAAAUAGAACCUGAAACCAUUUGCUUACAAUCAUUCAGAGCCCUAUGUAGCAAUACAGGGUGAUGGACUGCCUUUUGCAUAAUGAGCCUGCGAGUUGUGGUGUCUGGCAAGGUUAAGCAAACGCGAAGCCGUAGCGAAAGCGAGUCUGAAUAGGGCGCUUAGUCAGAUGCUGCAGACCCGAAACGAAGUGAUCUAUCCAUGAGCAAGUUGAAGCUAGUGUAAGAACUAGUGGAGGACUGAACCCAUAGGCGUUGAAAAGCCCCGGGAUGACUUGUGGAUAGGGGUGAAAGGCCAAUCAAACUUCGUGAUAGCUGGUUCUCUCCGAAAUAUAUUUAGGUAUAGCGUUGUGUCGUAAUAUAAGGGGGUAGAGCACUGAAUGGGCUAGGGCAUACACCAAUGUACCAAACCCUAUCAAACUCCGAAUACCUUAUAUGUAAUCACAGCAGUCAGGCGGCGAGUGAUAAAAUCCGUCGUCAAGAGGGAAACAACCCAGACUACCAGCUAAGGUCCCUAAAUCUUACUUAAGUGGAAAACGAUGUGAAGUUACUUAAACAACCAGGAGGUUGGCUUAGAAGCAGCCAUCCUUUAAAGAAAGCGUAAUAGCUCACUGGUCUAGUGAUUUUGCGCGGAAAAUAUAACGGGGCUAAAGU
rnacentral:rRNA from 1 species